rnacentral:rRNA from 1 species
UACGUAGGGGGCAAGCGUUGUCCGGAAUCAUUGGGCGUAAAGCGCGUGUAGGCAGCUCGGUAAGUCUGCUGUGAAAGUCCAGGGCUCAACCCUGGGAUGCCGGUGGAUACUGUCGAGCUCGAGUCCGGAAGAGGCGAGUGGAAUUCCUGGUGUAGCGGUGAAAUGCGCAGAUAUCAGGAGGAACACCUAUGGCGAAGGCAGCUCGCUGGGACGUGACUGACGCUGAGACGCGAAAGCGUGGGGAGCAAACAGG